UUCCGGUUGAUCCCGCCGGAAGUCACUGCUAUCGGGGUUCGAUUAAGCCAUGCGAGUCGAGAGGGUUCGGCCCUCGGCGUACUGCUCAGUAACACGUGGAUAACCUGCCCUAAGGAAGGGGAUAACCCCGGGAAACUGGGGAUAAUACCCUAUAGGUUACAGAUGCUGGAAUGCUCUGUAACUCAAAGUUCCGGCGCCCUAGGAUGGAUCUGCGGCCGAUUCGGUUGUUGUUGGGGUAAUGGCCCAACAAGCCAGUAAUCGGUACGGGUUGUGGGAGCAAGAGCCCGGAGUUGGAUUCUGAGACACGAAUCCUGGCCCUACGGGGCGCAGCAGGCGCGAAAACUUUACAAUGCGGGCAACCGUGAUAAGGGAACCUCGAGUGCCUGUAAAUGCAGGCUGUUUAGGUGUUUAAAACGCACCUGGAGAAAGGGCCGGGCAAGACCGGUGCCAGCCGCCGCGGUAAUACCGGCGGCUCGAGUGGUGGCCACUUUUAUUGGGCUUAAAGCGUUCGUAGCUGGGUUGUUAAGUCUCUUGGGAAAUCUGGCGGCUUAACCGUCAGGCGUCUAAGGGAUACUGGCAAUCUUGGAACCGGGAGAGGUGAGGGGUACUUCGGGGGUAGGAGUGAAAUCCUGUAAUCCUCGAGGGACCACCUGUGGCGAAGGCGCCUCACCAGAACGGCUUCGACAGUGAGGGACGAAAGCUGGGGGAGCAACCGGAUUAGAUACCCGGGUAGCCCCAGCCGUAAACUAUGCGCGUUAGGUGUAUCUGUGACCACGAGUUACCGAGGUUGCCGAAGGGAAACCGUGAAACGUGCCGCCUGGGAAGUACGGUCGCAAGGCUGAAACUUAAACGGAAUUGGCGGGGGAGCACCACACCGGGUGGAGCCUGCAGUUUAAUUGGAUUCAACGCCGGGAAAUACUAGUGCCGG
rnacentral:rRNA from 1 species